GUGGAUUAGAUACCCUGGUAGUCCACGCCGUAAACGUUGGGCACUAGGUGUGGGUCUCAACCAACGAGAUCCGUGCCGCAGCUAACGCAGUAAGUGCCCCGCCUGGGGAGUACGGCCGCAAGGCUAAAACUCAAAGGAAUUGACGGGGGCCCGCACAAGCGGCGGAGCAUGUUGCUUAAUUCGAGGCAACGCGAAGAACCUUACCUGGGUUUGACAUGUAGAGAAAAGCCGUAGAGAUACGGUGUCCGCAAGGGUUCUACACAGGUGGUGCACGGCCGUCGACAACU
rnacentral:rRNA from 1 species